AAAAUUAGAGUGGUCAAAGCAGGCAGAUCCAAUUUUCUGCCACCGAAUACAUUAGCAUGGGAUAAUGGAAUAGGACCCUGUCCUCCUAUUUUCAGUUGGUUUGCCGCGAGGACCAGGGUAAUGAUUAAUAGGGAUAGUUGGGGGCAUUAAUAUUUAAUUGUCAGAGGUGAAAUUCUUGGAUUUAUGAAAGAUUAACUUCUGCGAAAGCAUCUGCCAAGGAUGUUUUCAUUAAUCAAGAACGAAAGUUAGGGGAUCGAAGACGAUCAGAUACCGUCGUAGUCUUAACCAUAAACGAUGCCGACCAGCGAUUAGGAGACGUUGAAUACAAAACACCACCAUGCGCAUUGCGGUCGUCUUUGGUGUGUCGCUCACAAGGCGGCAUCAUCGGGACGGCUUAGCUCGCAUGGCACCGGUGAA
rnacentral:rRNA from 1 species